rnacentral:lncRNA from 1 species
UGAUCCUUUAAGGUCCUACUCACAUGCGUGUGGGAGGGUAUCAUAGUGUCAUUAUAUAUAUAUAUAUAGUUAAAUUGUCAAAAUCACAACUUCCCAUUGAAUAAGAAAAACUUUAUUCAUGCAGGCACAAAAUAAAAUACAUCAAUUGUUUUGAAAUUUAAUAGAGGGAAUGAGAUCUCCAUUACCAUUGCUUGUAUAAAAUUCAUAUUCGAAUUAUAUUAUUACAAGAUUGUUCCAUCUCUCUCUGUCUUUAUCAAGAGAAUUUUUGGCCUUGAAAAUACAUGAGCUAGAAGCUAUCAUGCUUUCUACUGUAUAAAAACAUUACUUAGUAGAAUCUAAUCCUUUAGCUAUGAAAAGAACAAGAAAUCAUCAAUUAAAUAAAAUCAUUACUCGGG